UCCCUAGUGGCUCAGAUGAUAAAGAAUCUGCCUGUGAUACAGGAGACCCAGGUUCUAUCCCUGGAUGGGGAA
rnacentral:tRNA from 1 species